CAGCAGCCGCGGGAAUACGAAGGGUGCAAGCGUUACUCGGAAUUACUGGGCGUAAAGCGUGCGUAGGUGGUCGUUUAAGUCUGUUGUGAAAGCCCUGGGCUCAACCUGGGAACUGCAGUGGAAACUGGACGACUAGAGUGUGGUAGAGGGUAGCGGAAUUCCUGGUGUAGCAGUGAAAUGCGUAGAGAUCAGGAGGAACAUCCAUGGCGAAGGCAGCUACCUGGACCAACACUGACACUGAGGCACGAAAGCGUGGGGAGCAAACAGGAUUAGAGACCCCUGUAGUCCUGUCUCUUAUACA
rnacentral:rRNA from 1 species